UGCUGAAAGGUGGUGCAAGACGAGAGAGAAAGGCUCCUCACUGCAGAUGACGCUACGGCAUUGAUUUAUUUAUUUAUAUGGCUUAUUUAUUUUAGCAGCGCUUUGACGUCCAUCGGUGUGUCUGUCUGACUCCCUUCCCCUCCUCUUCCUCUUCCUCCCUCCAUACCCGGCUUCUCCUCCAGGAAUGGUUGUAAGUUGAGGAUCAAGCUUCCUCCUAUUGUUCCUCCCAAUCAGACCAUCCAGCGCCCAGGCGUCUGUGGUCGCUGACCAAGACUACACUCCCCUCAAACGGAGGACAAAUGAAGAAGUAUUGAGCUCAAAACAGAACAGGA